GUGCUCACUUCAGCAGCACAUAUACUAAAACUGGAAAGAUACAGGGAUUAGCACGGCCCCUGUACAAGGAUGACAUGCAAAUUUGUGAAGCAUUCCAUAUUUUU
ensembl:snRNA U6 U6 spliceosomal RNA